AGUGAACGCUGGCGGUAGGCCUAACACAUGCAAGUCGAACGGCAGCACAGUAAGAGCUUGCUCUUACGGGUGACGAGUGGCGGACGGGUGAGGAAUACAUCGGAAUCUACUUUCUCGUGGGGGAUAACGUAGGGAAACUUACGCUAAUACCGCAUACGACCUACGGGUGAAAGCAGGGGAUCUUCGGACCUUGCGCGAUUGAAUGAGCCGAUGUCGGAUUAGCUAGUUGGCGGGGUAAAGGCCCACCAAGGCGACGAUCCGUAGCUGGUCUGAGAGGAUGAUCAGCCACACUGGAACUGAGACACGGUCCAGACUCCUACGGGAGGCAGCAGUGGGGAAUAUUGGACAAUGGGCGCAAGCCUGAUCCAGCCAUACCGCGUGGGUGAAGAAGGCCUUCGGGUUGUAAAGCCCUUUUGUUGGGAAAGAAAAGCAGCAGGUUAAUACCCCGCUGUUCUGACGGUACCCAAAGAAUAAGCACCGGCUAACUUCGUG
rnacentral:rRNA from 1 species